UGUAGUUCCUUUUUUGACAUGCUGCAAAUUAAACAAGAGCAAAAAAAAAAGUAAAAUAAAGAGGUUGAAAGACGCUUGCCGAAUGUACGAAACGCUCAGUUGCGGCCUGUCAGUCUGGAUAAAGGAUGAGGUAAACACCCCAAAAAGAAUGGAACUGGGUGCAACCUGGCAAACCUCCGGCGGCAUUUGCAUACCUGAUGCUAAAAAACUAUGUUAAUGUGUGAGCUAUCCGGGAUUGAGGCGAGCUGGCAAGCAAGUUCCUCGCCCGAGAAGGAGAACCAGCUGUGAGUCCGCCGGCGGGACAAACCGCAGACAUUGAAAGUGUCGCCCGCUCCGUUCGUUUCCUUUCGUCCUGUCUGCCUGUCUAUCUCUAUAAAUCUCUACGGAUGUGUUGUUAACUGCCGUCGGGCUUCUGAAUUACUCCCCCUUGGAUUUUUCCGCCUCCCAGACACGAAAGGGCGGCGGGGCGUGGCAGGGAGGUGGCGCCUCAAUUUGCACGCUUCGUUAUUCAAUUAGACACUUGGCACACAAACACAGCGAGUGCAGAGAAGGAGAAAGGGCAAAUUGGGAAGAGCAGCGACUACAAGGGACGCAUAAUUUUGAUUGAUGGCCCAAUAAUGGCGGUGAUUUAUCAUAUUUGCAUGCUAACAUUUAAGCCAACGAACGGCUGGUCUGCUCUUGAAGCCAGUUAGCGAAUGUGUCUGCGAAUUAGCUGCAUAUCAUAAUUGAAUUUAACCCUUUCAAUCUAGAAAUUCAAUGCAUGGAUUGUACAGAAACCCAUAGAAAUUACUUUAAAAUCUGUAUAAAUUGAGUCUUAUAAUAGUUUUUUAAAAAUAUCUUAAAAUAUAUAUACUUUGUAUAUACCUUUUGAGUACAUAUCUUAUAUAUCUUAUAGUGCCCAGGUUAGCUAUAAACUUUUUCUUUUACUGGCC
rnacentral:lncRNA from 1 species